UAAUUAUUUAUAUAAUUACCUAUUGAGAAUGUACACAAUGAAUUGAAUAAAAAUGAAAUGCUUUGCAUUAUGAUAAUUCUGUUCCAUAAUUUUUAGAAAAAACAUGACAUAUACCAAAGGUAUAUACAGAAGGUUCACUUUUUAAAUUAAAUUUCUUAAACAAAAAGUGGAAGAGCACCUAUACUUUGUAGCUAGUCCUGUAUGACCAAUAUUGUUAUUCUUUCUUUACUACACUCAUUUACUUGAUGUGAAAACAAUACAUUCCAGUAGCUGACAUGAAAGUGCAAAGUUAACAAGCAACCAGAGAGAGUGCACCACAAGGACUGAAUGAUGAACUGGAAAUGUAGUAAAAAUUCUGUUAAUUAAGGGUUGAUAGGGUCUGAAUAAGCUUUUAGGUUUGCAAAGAACAGAGCAGAGCCGAAAGGUUAUCCUUCAGGUCAAAGUCAAGGUCUUUUUAUUGCCCCAUGUACAAUGCACAGCAACAUUCUUGCCACAUAUUAGCAUAAUAGCCCUUGCAGACACAAUAAUCAACAUAAAACAUCAUAAUAGAAAAGCUUAAACUUCUCUAAUUUUACUAAUAAUAAUUAUUAUUUUAAUUAAUAAUUUUAAUAAUAAUUAAAGUGAGUAACACUAAACACAACAUUAUGUACUCUAGAAUCACAGAAGAUGUGACACUUGAUUUGAUCAGUUGAUUACAGUUUUAUUGCGUGUCACAAUUGAGCAGCCUUAUUAUCUGUGGGUAGAAACUGUUCUUAAAACUCAGUGUUCUGGUUGGUGUUAAUAAUUUUAAAAUGCUUGCCUGAUAUGGAAGGAGGAGAAAAUGUUCUAGUAUGGUGCAGGGUGACAGGGAUCCAUUAUGGUUCGUUUCGCCUUUCCCAGACAGCACUUACCAAAUAAGUCCUGCAGAGAUGGUAUCUGUGUACCAGUGAUGAUCUGCCCUGUGUAUGUCACCUUCGGCAAUUCCUUGUGAUCCUUAGCUGAACUGCUGCCAUACCAGCACACCAUGCAACCUGUCACAAUGGGCUCUAGAGUAUCUUUAUAAAAUUUGAUGAAGGCUGCUGGAGACAUUCAGGCCUUCGUCAAACAUGUGAGAAAAUAAAGUCACUGAUGAGCCUUUUUGAUGACUGCUGUGCUGUGUUCUGUCCACCUAAGAUCAUUGAUGAUGGUAACCCCCAGGAGUUUAAAACUGUUGACUCUUUCCACAGCCUUGCUCCCCAAGUAAAUGAGGGUGUGAUUUACCUGCAGUUUCCUGAAACCAGUUAUCAUCCCCUUAGUGUUCCUGACAUUCAGAAAGAGGUUAUUGUCCUACUCUGAAAGGAGCCUAAUCUCUUUUUGAUAGGCAAACUCAUCUUUAUAGCUUAUUGGAUCUACUGUAUAUCUGGCCAUACAGUUUACAAAGGCCAGUUGAGGUGUAGGUUAUUUGUUUUCUUUUUACUUAUUUGCUUUAUUUUUGCACAGUACAAUGAAACUAGUCAUUUUUCAUCUUCUGUGUUUCUUUGACCAUCUUUGGAUUUACAGAUGACUUGAGAGCAUCUUCAACAGGGUUCUAUAUAUUUUCUUCAAACCACUUAACUUAACCUAAUUUAGGGUCACUAAGUACAACUGUCACAGUAUUAUGCACAGAUGAUUCUUUUUUUAUUUUUAAAGUAUAUUUAAUUGUUUGAUUAGGUAGAAUUGCACUUUGUGGUGUGCUUUAUUUUUUUCUUUGAUUAAGCACUUAUUUAAUUGAUUUCACUCAUUAUGCGCUGUUCAAUUGGUUGAGUGUUUUUACAUAAUUUGUAAUUAUAUUUAAUUGGGUGGGGACAGGAGUGAAGUGGAUGCAAAAAAGGAGGGAUUCUUUGGGGCAGAGGUAAAGAUGGAAGGUUGCCAGAUUUGGUUCAAUGAGAGGAAAUGAAAGGAAAAGAUUAGAAGUGAAAAAAAAAAUAGAGAGAGAAAUGGUCGCAGGACUUUGUAGAAGAGGUGGGAGUGGCAGAGGGUUGGUACCAAGUGGUUUGUGAACUGAAACUUUUGUGGUUUUCUUUGUGGGAGCAUGAAGCCACCAGUCUAAAAAUGAAGUGUUAUUAAAUUCUGGACAGUGUCAAAUUUAUGGAAAUUAAAUUCAUGGACAGUGGCAAAAAUGGCACCUCAUUCGAUCGAGAACUGUCAGCUUUGAUUCCGUUGUUUAGAUGUUUCCUUCAUUUUAUGUUGCAGUUUUGUCCUGGAGAGGAGUACAGUUUUUGAGUGGAAUAUUAGAGUGGGCGGCACGGAAUCUCUGAUGACUGAAGGAUCAGGCUAAAGACUCCAGGGGUGAUUGUUGUUUUUGGGACAACACAGUUACACAAAAAAGAGAAGUAAAUGGAGGUUUUGCCUGAUGGUUUUUAAUCAUAUGAUUGUUUUAAAUAAAUGAGGUGCAUGGAGUUUAGGACAGGCCAUGAUAGGAUAUUAAUGGUGUAAAAACAGAUAUGCAUAGUAACACAUUCUAUCCCAGAAUUUAACAGCAAAAGUAAAAUAAGUAACAUAUUAAAAAUAAGUUGCAUUAACGCUAGAAGUAUCAAAAAUAAAACAAGUGAGUUGGACUUGUAUGUAUCUGAGCAUAAUUAUGAUGUUAUAGCAAUAACAGAAACCUGGCUAAAAAACAGAUGGAGAUGAAUAUAACACAGAGAGGUAUGUAUUUUUUUCAGAAUUUAAAUGCAUGUGUUCUACAGCUGGAUGAAGAGUAACAACUUUGUGAGGAUGUCUGGAUUCAUCUGAAAAGAUAGAUGCCUUAUUUUAGGAGUGUGCUAUAUACUCCCCACUGCAGACAGCAAUUUCAAUGUACAUCUUUUUGGUAAUAUUAAAAAGGCAAAUUUACAGGGGAUAUUAUAGUCAUGGGGAACAUUAACUAUCCAAUUAUUAACUGGCUAACUUUGCAGACAGUGGAGUACAAGAGCAGGAGCCUGUCUAGAUUUAGGAUUUUGCAAUAACCAGGGCAGAACUGAGGGUGUAGAAGAGACUGUACCAUUAGGAUCAAGUGACCCUAAUGGAAUUAAGCAUUAAAUAAGUUACUCUUGAUUGCAGGCAAUUUUUAAGCCUCUAAUAGCUAUAGAAAAAGCUAUAGAAAAAAGACAAAAUGUGGCUUAAUUUCAGAUGCUAUGCUCACAUGGCUAUACAGGAGAGGGAAAACAGGAACUUCAGCUGGUGAUGUGUCAGCACAGACAUUUCAGAAUCUAAGAAUGUUCAUGCUUGUACAGAGCCUUACAGAUAUCUAAGUGUAUUUUAAAAUUCCUACUAAAAUACACAAGCAUCUAAGGCAAUGAUGCAAACAUUGAAGAAAUGUGUCUAAAAUAAUUUUUUUUUGGUUAAGAUUCUUGCGGGUGUUCACUAAGCAUUUGCAGUAACAGAGCAAGCUGAAUACGGGCGCGUAAAUUGUGUGAAAUAGAAAGCGAUUUACUGUGCUGACUUUCUUUGCACUUGAUGUAACUCAAACACCUGAAAUCAGAAUGUGCUGAUCAACAAAACUUUUACCGUAUGGACAGAAAAAUCAUGAGUGAGUAACAUUUCAGUUUAUUUUUCAGGUGCCUGCUUUUCGUUGACAAUAAUCCACCUGCCACUUCACACAGGAGAAAUCCUUUCUGAAAAUAAAACAGCACUGAUCAAGAGACUGACGGUCAUCAUACAAGAUCAGCAUAUUGCUGCUGACCAAUCACUUUUGCUUUAAAAAAGUUGUUUAACAACGUAGCAAUGCAAACCUUUUUGUAAUUAUUCUAUAUUUAUUAAUUUAUCUUUUUUUAGUAUAUAGUCACAGCUCAAAAUACAUGAUAUUGUGAAAAUAAUCCAGUAGCAGAAUUAUGUUUUAUUAUUGUUCCCCUUUUUCAAUUUCCCUCUCUCUCUCUCUCUGUGUCAAAAUAGAUAGUUGAAAUAUAAUAUUCCUUUUGUUUUUAACAUUAGCCAUAUCAUUCAUAUUGCAUACCAGGGAUUUUUUACUGCCUUGAAUCCUGAUAGUGCUGGGGUAGGCUCCAGGUUUCCCACCAUCCUGCUCUGGAUAGAUAGGUUUAGAUAAUGUAUAUAUUGUUCCUAAUCUCAGAUGCUGUUUCUGUUGUUUUAUGCCUGUCCGUACACCUAUUACCUACUCUUGCUCUGCUCAUUAAGGGUUUACUGUUCUUAUGCAUGGGCUGUUCAAGUCUCACUGCCCCUAACCUUAACACUAAAUGCUUGUUUUUCUUGGUUUCCCUCAGUAGAGCCAGGUGGAAUCUGCAAACUGAUUCCAAGCCUAAGUGUCCUGUUGUUCCUAAUCCCCCAUGAUUUUCAUGAUCACACCUAGCAGAACACAGUAGAAUCUAUUUUCUGAUUUUUGAUAUCUUUUCAGGUUUGCAGGUUAGGGCCAUCUUAAUGCAAGGGCAUGCUGGGCAGUUGCCUGGGGUCCCCACAAGCUUAGGGGCCCCAUGCUAAUCUAUGUAUGUUGUAAAUAAAUACUAUACUAUACUAAGCUAUAAAUAAUUGUUAUUGUAUUACAAGUGGACAUUGGCAUUCACCUCUGAUUUAGUAUCACGGUCACCUCUGCAACCUCAUGUGAAUGUAUGUGUACGUCACUUCAGCUCAGUUCUCUGCAAAGGAAUUUCACAAAUGUUUGUGUUGAACACAUGAUUAAUAAUAAAUAAUUCAUAGUAAUUUCAUACUGUGUUAUAUUGUUUAAACAUUUGUGUUGAUUAAUCUUUGCUGUACAGCAUUUUUAAUAUUUAAACACUGAUUUUGUUGGAAGUAUCAAUAAAAUAAAUAUAUGUUUCAUUUUAUCAACCAUUUACAUUUUUAUUCCUGUGAGUGGUUGUGUAGGUAGGGGCCCCAGUGCACUGCUUUGCCCGGGGGCCUGUAAUGCUGUUAAGACGGCCCUGCUGCAGGUGGCAAAAUUCUGUCUAUAAAUUGUAUGUGCCUGAGAUGGAAUCAGAGAAUAUAUGGCUGGAAGAAAAUAAAAAGUCCAGUAUGGGAGUUUUUUGAAUGCAAUAUUGAAGGCAGUCAUUAUAAGCACAUUGUCUUUGAGCGAGAUAUGUUGUGUGGUAUAGACAUUUACAGUAAAAAAACAAAAAACCCUCAAAUCUUAAAAUUCACCUAAAUUUCAUUAGAAAUUGGCCUGUUCUGGGCAAUAAAAGGAAGAGAUAAAAAGUGCCAACAAUCAGAGCACAUUUGUUCAGCAUAAAUGACAUAGAAAAUAUUUUAAAAAUAAUAAAAUUGUUCAUUUUCAGCACCUGGUUUUGAUUCUGCUUGUUUUUAUCAGGCAAAAACAAAAACAGAUAGUAAACCAUAUACUGUAAUGUAGUAAGCUCCCACUAACAUAUCCAAAUCCAUUAAGUCCACAAUUCUGUCUUGAUUGUGACACAAAACUAAACUCCAUAGUAGCUCUUUAACCAUACCAUAAUUACUAAAACAAAAACUGAAAAUAAUAGAUAUAAAAAUAAAAUAUAAAUGUCUUUGCAAAAUAAAAACUAAAUUAAAACUAAAAAUACACAAUGAAGGAAAACUAAAACUAAACUGAAUUUCCAAGUAAGGUCAGAAAAAUAUAGAAUAGAAAUAAAAACUAAUACAAAAAGGCAAAACUAUAAUACCUUUGGUGUGAUGGGUGUUUGUUUUAUAUGUAUUGAUGUUUUCAUGGACAUUUUUGAAAUGCACCGAUAGCUCACAGUGUGCCUGCUCACUGAUGACCACUACAGUCCUGAACUAGACAUGCAGAUGAGUCUGAAAUCAAGCCUUUGUUCUGGGAUCUGGUUUAUGGUUAAGAGUUUUCACCACUACUAUUCUUGAAAAACUCAAUUAAACAUUUUACAGUUUAAUAAGAGUAUGGGAUAGCUCAAAGGUAAACAUAUAAAGUAAGAAAGAAACAGGUUAUUUGAACUCUAAAAUAGAGGAAAAUGGGGGAAAGCAAGAAGGAAGAUCUUUAUGACCAUGAUCAAAAGGUUUUUAAAUUAUUCUAAACAAGACAACAAACUGAUGACAGACAUAUUAGAAAAAAAAACUAUUAAAAAAACUGCUAAACUAGUUAUGAGAUAUAAAAACGAAGGAUAUAUAUUCAGACAUUAAGUGUGGAGCCAGGGAGAGAGAUGUGAAGAAAGUGCAUACCUUUGAAAAGUAACAGGCAUACUAGUACUCUCUGUUUUAUAAGAUCUCUCCACCUUUGCUAAUAAAAAUUGUUUGGAUCCUAAGUUGAAUGUAUUUUUUAAAGAAAAGCUUUCCACAUCAUAAUCCCACUUCUUUGGCUCCUACUGAACUACAAAAAUAAUUUUCAAUCACUUUUUUUUUCUUUCUGUUGCUUAACAUUUCCAUUUGCUUACUGCUGCCUUCCCUUUUCUUGACAGAUGCUGCUUAUAAUGAGUAGUAUACCCUAAUGAGCAUAUCUGUGACCUAUAUUAGCUGCUAUUUUUCUGCUUUCCCAAGGAAAUUAUGACCAAUGUAAAUACUGUAUAAGCAAGCAGGAUUCUUAUCUGAGACCUGACAUUAAACAGUUUUCAUUGUCAAAAUGUACAGUAUUCUACAGUAAUGACAGAAG